rnacentral:rRNA from 1 species
CUGGCUCAGGACGAACGCUGGCGGCGUGCUUAACACAUGCAAGUCGAACGGAAAGGCCCUGCUUUUGUGGGGUGCUCGAGUGGCGAACGGGUGAGUAACACGUGAGUAACCUGCCCUUGACUUUGGGAUAACUUCAGGAAACUGGGGCUAAUACCGGAUAGGAGCUCCUGCUGCAUGGUGGGGGUUGGAAAGUUUCGGCGGUUGGGGAUGGACUCGCGGCUUAUCAGCUUGUUGGUGGGGUAGUGGCUUACCAAGGCUUUGACGGGUAGCCGGCCUGAGAGGGUGACCGGCCACAUUGGGACUGAGAUACGGCCCAGACUCCUACGGGAGGCAGCAGUGGGGAAUAUUGCACAAUGGGCGGAAGCCUGAUGCAGCAACGCCGCGUGCGGGAUGACGGCCUUCGGGUUGUAAACCGCUUUCGCCUGUGACGAAGCGUGAGUGACGGUAAUGGGUAAAGAAGCACCGGCUAACUACGUGCCAGCAGCCGCGGUGAUACGUAGGGUGCGAGCGUUGUCCGGAUUUAUUGGGCGUAAAGGGCUCGUAGGUGGUUGAUCGCGUCGGAAGUGUAAUCUUGGGGCUUAACCCUGAGCGUGCUUUCGAUACGGGUUGACUUGAGGAAGGUAGGGGAGAAUGGAAUUCCUGGUGGAGCGGUGGAAUGCGCAGAUAUCAGGAGGAACACCAGUGGCGAAGGCGGUUCUCUGGGCCUUUCCUGACGCUGAGGAGCGAAAGCGUGGGGAGCGAACAGGCUUAGAUACCCUGGUAGUCCACGCUGUAAACGGUGGGUACUAGGUGUGGGGUCCAUUCCACGGGUUCCGUGCCGUAGCUAACGCUUUAAGUACCCCGCCUGGGGAGUACGGCCGCAAGGCUAAAACUCAAAGGAAUUGACGGGGCCCCGCACAAGCGGCGGAGCAUGCGGAUUAAUUCGAUGCAACGCGUAGAACCUUACCUGGGUUUGACAUGGAUCGGGAGUGCUCAGAGAUGGGUGUGCCUCUUUUGGGGUCGGUUCACAGGUGGUGCAUGGCUGUCGUCAGCUCGUGUCGUGAGAUGUUGGGUUAAGUCCCGCAACGAGCGCAACCCUUGUUCACUGUCGCCAGCACGUUAUGGUGGGGACUCAGUGGAGACCGCCGGGGUCAACUCGGAGGAAGGUGGGGAUGACGUCAAGUCAUCAUGCCCCUUAUGUCCAGGGCUUCACGCAUGCUACAAUGGCUGGUACAGAGAGUGGCGAGCCUGUGAGGGUGAGCGAAUCUCGGAAAGCCGGUCUCAGUUCGGAUUGGGGUCUGCAACUCGACCUCAUGAAGUCGGAGUCGCUAGUAAUCGCAGAUCAGCAACGCUGCGGUGAAUACGUUCCCGGGGCUUGUACACACCGCCCGUCAAGUCAUGAAAGUUGGUAACACCCGAAGCCGGUGGCCUAACCGUUGUGGCGGAGCCGUCGAAGGUGGGACUGGUGAUUACGAAUAAG